rnacentral:rRNA from 1 species
AGUGAACGCUGGCGGUAGACCUAACACAUGCAAGUCGAGCGGCAGCACAGUAAGAGCUUGCUCUUACGGGUGGCGAGUGGCGGACGGGUGAGGAAUACAUCGGAAUCUACUUUUUCGUGGGGGAUAACGUAGGGAAACUUACGCUAAUACCGCAUACGACCUACGGGUGAGAGCAGGGGAUCUUCGGACCUUGCGCGAUUGAAUGAGCCGAUGUCGGAUUAGCUAGUUGGCGGGGUAAAGGCCCACCAAGGCGACGAUCCGUAGCUGGUCUGAGAGGAUGAUCAGCCACACUGGAACUGAGACACGGUCCAGACUCCUACGGGAGGCAGCAGUGGGGAAUAUUGGACAAUGGGCGCAAGCCUGAUCCAGCCAUACCGCGUGGGUGAAGAAGGCCUUCGGGUUGUAAAGCCCUUUUGUUGGGAAAGAAAAGCAGCAGGUUAAUACCCCGCUGUUCUGACGGUACCCAAAGAAUAAGCACCGGCUAACUUCGUG